rnacentral:rRNA from 1 species
UCGAGCGGGGAAAAGUAGCUUGCUACUUAACCUAGCGGCGGACGGGUGAGUAAUGCUUAGGAAUCUGCCUAUUAGUGGGGGACAACAUCUCGAAAGGGAUGCUAAUACCGCAUACGUCCUACGGGAGAAAGCAGGGGACCUUCGGGCCUUGCGCUAAUAGAUGAGCCUAAGUCGGAUUAGCUAGUUGGUGGGGUAAAGGCCUACCAAGGCGACGAUCUGUAGCGGGUCUGAGAGGAUGAUCCGCCACACUGGGACUGAGACACGGCCCAGACUCCUACGGGAGGCAGCAGUGGGGAAUAUUGGACAAUGGGGGGAACCCUGAUCCAGCCAUGCCGCGUGUGUGAAGAAGGCCUUUUGGUUGUAAAGCACUUUAAGCGAGGAGGAGGCUACCGAGAUUAAUACUCUUGGAUAGUGGACGUUACUCGCAGAAUAAGCACCGGCUAACUCUGUGCCAGCAGCCGCGGUAAUACAGAGGGUGCAAGCGUUAAUCGGAUUUACUGGGCGUAAAGCGCGCGUAGGUGGCCAAUUAAGUCAAAUGUGAAAUCCCCGAGCUUAACUUGGGAAUUGCAUUCGAUACUGGUUGGCUAGAGUAUGGGAGAGGAUGGUAGAAUUCCAGGUGUAGCGGUGAAAUGCGUAGAGAUCUGGAGGAAUACCGAUGGCGAAGGCAGCCAUCUGGCCUAAUACUGACACUGAGGUGCGAAAGCAUGGGG